GACGAACGCUGGCGGCGUGCUUAACACAUGCAAGUCGAACGGAAAGGCCCUGCUUUUGUGGGGUGCUCGAGUGGCGAACGGGUGAGUAACACGUGAGUAACCUGCCCUUGACUUUGGGAUAACUUCAGGAAACUGGGGCUAAUACCGGAUAGGAGCUCCUGCUGCAUGGUGGGGGUUGGAAAGUUUCGGCUGUUGGGGAUGGACUAGCGGCUUAUCAGCUUGUUGGUGGGGUAGUGGCUUACCAAGGCUUUGACGGGUAGCCGGCCUGAGCGGGUGACCGGCCACAUUGGGACUGAGAUACGGCCCAGACUCCUACGGGAGGCAGCAGUGGGGAAUAUUGCACAAUGGGCGGAAGCCUGAUGCAGCAACGCCGCGUGCGGGAUGACGGCCUUCGGGUUGUAAACCGCUGUCGCCUGUGACGAAGCGUGAGUGACGGUAAUGGGUAAAGAAGCACCGGCUAACUACGUG
rnacentral:rRNA from 1 species